CAGAGUUCCCUUCAAUAAUACUAAAAUUGAAAAAAAAAAUACAGAGAUGAUUAGAAUGGCCCCUGUGCAAAGAUAACAUUAAAAUUCAUGAAGCAUUCAAAAGAAGG
rnacentral:snRNA from 1 species